rnacentral:rRNA from 1 species
UGCGUAGGGCGCAAGCGUUGUCCGGAAUUAUUGGGCGUAAAGAGCUCGUAGGCGGUUUGUCGCGUCUGCCGUGAAAGUCCGGGGCUCAACUCCGGAUCUGCGGUGGGUACGGGCAGACUAGAGUGAUGUAGGGGAGACUGGAAUUCCUGGUGUAGCGGUGGAAUGCGUAGAGAUCCGGAAGAACACCGGUGGCGAAGGCGGUCUGCUGGGGUAAUGCUGACACUGAUGCGCGACAGCGUGGGGAGCAAACAGG